rnacentral:rRNA from 1 species
AGUGAACGCUGGCGGUAGGCCUAACACAUGCAAGUCGAACGGCAGCACAGUAAGAGCUUGCUCUUACGGGUGGCGAGUGGCGGACGGGUGAGGAAUACAUCGGAAUCUACUUUUUCGUGGGGGAUAACGUAGGGAAACUUACGCUAAUACCGCAUACGACCUACGGGUGAAAGCAGUGGAUCUUCGGACCUUGCGCGAUUGAAUGAGCCGAUGUCGGAUUAGCUAGUUGGCGGGGUAAAGGCCCACCAAGGCGACGAUCCGUAGCUGGUCUGAGAGGAUGAUCAGCCACACUGGAACUGAGACAAGGUCCAGACUCCUACGGGAGGCAGCAGUGGGGAAUAUUGGACAAUGGGCGCAAGCCUGAUCCAGCCAUACCGCGUGGGUGAAGAAGGCCUUCGGGUUGUAAAGCCCUUUUGUUGGGAAAGAAAAGCAGCAGGUUAAUACCCCGCUGUUCUGACGGUACCCAAAGAAUAAGCACCGGCUAACUUCGUG